AGCAGUUUGUUUCCUAAAUGUUCUAGAAAACCAAGUCCGGAAAAAGUUAAUACUUUCCGAGAUAAUGAGUGUAUCCACUUAAAUGGAUCAUCUGGUAUACGAAGUUCAAUAAUUUAUACCCACACAUAACCAAAACAAAAAAUAAACAAAUAGAUCUGAUACUGGGAACUGGUACGUCACUGUUGUAUAUGAAAUAUUGGGAAGGUAGGGCACAUGCAGUUAUUGAAUUGCAUAUAAGUAAAUCACGUUGGAUAGUAUUUUAUUUCGUGUGUGCGGUGUGCAUUAUGUUAAU